rnacentral:rRNA from 1 species
ACGUAAUAGAUACCCGGGUAGUCCACGCCCUAAACGAUGUCUACUAGUUGUCGGGUUUAAUUAACUUGGUGACGCAGCUAAACGCGUGAAAGUAGACCGCCUGGGGAGUACGGUCGCAAGAUUAAAACUCAAAGGAAUUGACGGGGACCCGCACAAGCGGUGGAUGAUGUGGAUUAAUUCGAUGCAACGCGAAAAACCUUACCUACCCUUGACAUGGCAGGAAUCCUGAAGAGAUUUGGGAGUGCUCGAAAGAGAACCUGCACACAGGUGCUGCAUGGCUGUCGUCAGCUCGUGUCGUGAGAUGUUGGGUUAAGUCCCGCAACGAGCGCAACCCUUGUCAUUAGUUGCUACGAAAGAGCACUCUAAUGAGACUGCCGGUGACAAACCGGAGGAAGGUGGGGAUGACGUCAAGUCCUCAUGGCCCUUAUGGGUAGGGCUUCACACGUCAUACAAUGGUACAUACAGAGGGCCGCCAACCCGCGAGGGGAGCUAAUCCCAGAAAGUGUAUCGUAGUCCGGAUUGUAGUCUGCAACUCGACUAC